rnacentral:lncRNA from 1 species
AUAGAUCAAGAAAGAAGAAAUAGUGCAAGUGAUCGGGGAAAAGAGAAAGUUAUCGACUAAAUUACAAAAAUAGUCGUUUUGCAUCCGAGGUAAGUUAUAUGUAAAUAAUAGUUAUAUUUGUAUAAAUUGUGAAUUAUAUUUGAUAUGUGAAUUAAUAUUGAAUGUGGAAGGAAAGUUGUUCAUGAAUUAUUCAAGUGAUAAAGUGUUGAAAAUAAAGUGUUAAGUGUAAAUUCCCGGUUGAACUUAGGAAUAGAAUUGGAUACAAGUGACAUGUCACUAGAGACCAGUGUUACAGUGUUACAGUGUUACGGUGAGUCCCGGGUGCUGGGUGAUCUAGCAUGUGUUGCAGACACUUGACAGCUUGUGUGAGCAGACCCGUGGACAUUUCCAGUGUUAUUGAUCAGUGGUAGCUUCGGCUACAUUUCAGUGGUAGCUUUGGCUACAUCCAGUGGUAGCUUCGGCUACAUAUCAGUGGUAGCUUUGGCUACAUAUCAGUGUGACACUUAUGUGCUAAAUCUCUACGUAUCCGUGUAUAUUUCAAGUGUUCAACAGGAUUAAUAAUGAAUUAAAGUGAAUAUGAAAUGUUAAGUGUGAAAAUGUAUAUGCAAGUGAAUUGGUAAGAUUGUGUAUGUGUAAGUGAUUGAAAUUGCUAAGAAAUGUUUUGAUUAGUUAUAUGUUAAAAGUGUUAAUUAUUAAUUGAGUAAUUAUUGUUUACAUGUAACUUACUAAGCUAUUUAUAGCUUACACAUCUCUUUCUUUCCUUUGUUUUAUAGUGAUUUGAACUUGAUCGAAUAGUGGACCGUCGGAGCUCGUAUCACACUAUCAUAACCAUCUCGGUAUUAUGUGCUUUUCAAAAUGUUUAAACUAUGGCAUGUAUAGAGUCUUAAUCAUUUUGAGCAUGUCCAAAUGAUAUGGCUAAUGUUAGCUAUUGAAGUAGUUAUUAAAGAAUAUGUUUUGGAGUUAUGUAUGUUUAAAUGGUAACUAAUUCAAAGAAGCAGUUUCUUUGAUAGCAGCAGUGACGUGAAUGUGAAAAAUCACCAUAAAUAGUAGAAAUGGAAUUAGAGGGUGUAUGAUAUAUAGAAUUAAAGCUUAUCAAGUCUAUUUUUACAUGAAAGAAACGGUGUAGGCAAAGGAAUUUUAUAUUUUGAGAUAUUUAAAUUUUAGUGAGACAGGGUCAGAAUGGUUUUUGAAGUCCCCUGUUCUAACUUUAGAAAAUCAUUAUAAAUUGUACAGAAAUAAUUAUAGGUCAUAAUUUAUAUGUUUAGAUUCCUUAGUGAGUCUAUUUUCAAAAUAAAUUAAUGGUAACCUUAUAUGAAUUCUGU